AGCUCCGAGCCCUCCCCUAAUUCGGAGUGUUUCCUGCCCAGUGGGUUUCCCUCAACGGCUGCGGUAUCCUGACCGUACAAAGGUAGCAUAAUCAUUUGCUUUUUAAUUGGAAGCUGGAAUGAACGGAGUAAUGGUGGUCAUACUUUCUGAGAAGCAGAUCUUUCGAAUUUAACUUUCUGGUGAAGAGGCCAGGAUUUCAGAGUUAGACAAGAAGACCCUACUGAGCUUAAACUAAUCCCUCCUCCCCGGGGGGUGCACUUUUUGGUUGGGGCGACCAGGGAGUUUAGCCUCCCUAGAUUCCCUUUUAUUUUUCGUUUCCUCCUUUGGAGAGCCUGGAAAAGCUACCUUAGGGAUAACAGCGCAAUAAGUUCUGAGAGACCCCAUCGAAGGGCUUCUUGUGACCUCGAUGUUGGAUUGGGGCCCUCCCAGGUGCAGCCGCCUGGGGGUAGGUAGUCUGUU
rnacentral:rRNA from 1 species